rnacentral:rRNA from 1 species
GGCCCAUAACACAUGCAAGUCGAACGGUAACAGGAAGCAGCUUGCUGCUUCGCUGACGAGUGGCGGACGGGUGAGUAAUGUCUGGGAAACUGCCUGAUGGAGGGGGAUAACUACUGGAAACGGUAGCUAAUACCGCAUAACGUCGCAAGACCAAAGAGGGGGACCUUCGGGCCUCUUGCCAUCGGAUGUGCCCAGAUGGGAUUAGCUAGUAGGUGGGGUAACGGCUCACCUAGGCGACGAUCCCUAGCUGGUCUGAGAGGAUGACCAGCCACACUGGAACUGAGACACGGUCCAGACUCCUACGGGAGGCAGCAGUGGGGAAUAUUGCACAAUGGGCGCAAGCCUGAUGCAGCCAUGCCGCGUGUAUGAAGAAGGCCUUCGGGUUGUAAAGUACUUUCAGCGGGGAGGAAGGCGACAGGGUUAAUAACCCUGUCGAUUGACGUUACCCGCAGAAGAAGCACCGGCUAACUCCGUGCCAGCAGCCGCGGUAAUACGGAGGGUGCAAGCGUUAAUCGG